UCUCAUCUUGGUUGUUUAUAAAUGAAAUGUUAAAAUGAAAGAUUAUGGGAAGAAUUAGACUCCUGUUAUUUCAUGUGAUGAACUCAUUUCUUGGCAGAGUUACACUGGAUGAGUUAAGAUGUAACUGAAAAUAUGCUUCCCUCCUGAAACUUGGAAUCUUGCUUUUAAUUAUCAUUGAAAUGUCACCAGAGAUACAUUUAAACAGUUUUUGAUAAGACAUGGACUAACAAACCGAAUCCAACUGCUACAGGGACAUUUUUUAAUUUCACAGGUGGUUGAAAUAUAUACUGCGGCAGUAUAAAGGAGAAAAUGCAGCAGGAGCUACCCGUGAUAGGAGUCAAUACCUCUGUGAACAAGGAGAAGCACUACUAUCUUGGUUGAAAACACUCUUAUUCGUAACAAAACCGAAAGCUCCUGUGUCUGAUCUUUUAAUAGACUUUCAAGGACACAUUUUCAACAGGUAUGGGAAACCAGAAUACGCUACACCCAAAUGUGCCUCUUUGGCAGAAGUCUGAUUGGGCUGAAGGAAUUAAGAACAAGCAGAAGCAGGAAGGCUCUUUGCCCUCUCUCUAUUUGCCUAAAAUUGGGAUGUAAAUUUACAAAGACAAAAGCUAUUUCACCUCCCCUCUCUGAAAGAACAAAGGUUAACCACUGAAGAGAGUUUUUCACCCUUACGGGCCGGAAGAUGGCACCAGAGGAAACUACGUUAGCAAGCUUUGCAAACCAGCCUUUCUCUGCCAGUUAUUUUCCUUCCCCCACCUUGUGGCCCCUAGAGAUACAAAGUCUUUUUAUUUUUUAUUUUUUUUGUCUUGUCACUUCUCUAAGCAUUGACUGUUCUUUGUAGAAGAUCCCACAUAAGUUGGAAUUCAAGCCACCUCUUUGAAAAUUACUCAUUCCCUAGGUAUCUUCCAUGCGUGUAUUAAAUAAACAUAUUAAUAAACUUCUGUUUGUUUUUCUCUUUUUAAAGUGUCUUUUGCUAUGGGGUCCAUUCCAACUUAAAACUUAUCAGGGUUGAGAUAAUAAUUAUUCUUCUUCCCCUACACUGGUUAUUAAAUGUUGCCACCACACUAGCACCUACAAAGGAUAGUUGGGUUUUAGAAAUGCUGGACCAUGGACAGGUAGAAUCAAGUGAAAUAAUAAUGUGCUGCCCUUAAUGAAGCUGUUGUCUGUCAAUAGUUGAUAACACCGAAUUCACUUCAUAAGGGUAGAGAGGAAGAAAACAAUGUUUGCAGGAGAUUGUGAACAAGGAAGGAACACAUUUCAGAUAAGGGUAAUCAUAGCUGGGCUCCUUAAAAUGGCAAUUAUAAACAUGUCCCUAUUAUUUCAAAGGUAGGCCAAUGACUGAUGGUUACAGAAACAUGAGCUACCAAAACAGACCAUCAGAAACCAAAAGAAAAAAUAUGUGAACAAAACAGCUUUUUAGGAAGAAAAUACAUUAAAUCAAAUUCUUGGCAUUUUGAAUAUGCAAGAAAAUUAAAUAUACAAGUCAUACUGAAAACUGUCAGUCCUUUUUGUGCAUAGCUUGAUGACUACCAGGCAAACCAUUUUCCCUAAUUGAGAUUUAAGAAAAAUAGACGAGUUUAACUCUAGUGCAAAAUAAAAUGACUUAACUGACAAUGUGAGAGGCUAACUGAAGAAAUAAGAAAUAUUUAGAAAGAAGAGAGAUAUACCAGGAUUUCAUAGAUUACAUGAGAAGAAGCAGACUAAAGGGAACAUUUCAUUGUAUAUUAUUUCUCUCUAUAUAUGUCUAUCAAAAGUAGGCAUUUCAAAAAAUCAAAAAAUUAUUUGAAGGUACAAGCCACUUUAUUGACAAAAUUACCUUUUGCACUAUAAUUUAACUUUCUUAAACUUUUGACCUUGUUUCUUGACCUUUGUACAUUUUCCUUUUCUUUUUUAAAUUAUGUGGCUCCUUUGAGUCAUCCAUUUCCUCUUUCCUCUGGAAAGGGAAGAGUCAUGGAUUCCAACCUUUCUGCUAGAAGCUACGAAGAAUUAAUUGCCAUGUAGGUUUCCUUGGAAGACGUCAGAUAAUCUUUACCUGGGUUUCAUGCACAAUCAUUUCUUUAACAAGACUGAGCAUUAGUCAUACCUAUAAAUUAAUUCUCCCUCUUGGUCUAAAACUAACAUCUGAAAAUACUGUACUUUUCCUUCACAUCAAAUAUGGCCUAAGUAGCCUUUUCAUUUUAUUUUUCCAGAAAGCUUUCCCAGUAAAAAGACAGACCCGAGGGUAUUUUCUCAUCUUGUUGCAGAGAGUGAUGGUACAGAAUGUGCAUAAUGCCCACGCAGGAAAGUUAAUAAUAUUCUACAAGCAGUCUAUUUUUAGAUUAAUAGAGCCAGUUUACGCAAAGCAAAUCUGUACUGCAGAAAGAAGAGCGUUAAAUAUUUGAAAAAAUUCUGGAUAAACUUUAAGAAAAAAGGAAACAUUUUCUUUUCCUACAUUGGGUCUAACAUAAUUAAAUGAAUUCAAAGGCUUAGCCACUUUUGCAAAGGCUUAAUUGCUUGUAUUGAUCGUGACCUAAAUUUGCUUCUGCACAGUUUAUAGAGCUACAUUUGGCACUGGAACCAAAACCCCUUGGGACGAAAAGCCAUAGCCAUCCUGACAUUACCAAAUGGUAGAAUAAUUAUUUACAUUUAUUAACAUGGAGAUAAAGAUCAUUUUGUUGGUUGACCAGAUAACUAGGUCUUUCCUGGCUAAUGCUGCAUUAAAAUACAUAGUCUCAACAGUCAAGAAUUCUCCUAGUGGGCUUUGGUAGACCAUAAUUUUAGUUAACUCAGAGAAGAAAAAUCCCUCAGUGUAAACACUGGGUCAUUAUUUUAAAUCUAUUCAAUAAAUCGGUAUCGUACAUAACCCUCACAGACAUGCCGAUUUCGUUCAAUGGUAUUUCUAAUCACCGAUAAGCCUAUAUAGAGAGUAAACACACUACCCAGGAUCCUACUACUUGGAUAAAAAGCCAACAUCACCCUGCCUUUCCUUCUUUUAAGAUAAAAGGGAAAUCAAUGAGUUUUUAUUUUUAUUUUUUAGGAGUGCAAUCUACUUAUUUUGCCAUACUAAACUAAAGUUCUGGGAUCCCCUGAUACUUGUGCAAGUUACCGCAUACACAUCUCUGAUGGAUGAAGGAAUGUUUCUUCCAUUCUAAGCACCCUGCAAAAGCCAUUUAUAUUCUGAGGCCUGAACUAUAUGCACCUAGUGUCCUGCACUGUCACUCAGAGAUUCUUUCUCUUCUUCCAACUACUCCCUGACUCCUUUGAUGUUCUAUGAACACUUUAAUACGUUAGAGAUCACUUAAUGCAGUUGAUUUUAAUGAUCUGCACACAUCCCUGUCUUCCCACUAGACUGGAUACUUUCCUAGUUAUCUUUUCCUCAUUCAUCUUUUUAUUCCCAGGGCCCUCGACAGUGUCUGUUAAAUACUAUUUACCUUAAUAUUUAGUAAAUUUGCAAAAGGUGUGAGUGAAUGCUCCUUUUUUCUAAUAUUUUAUUUUUAAAAUUAGCUUUAAUAUUAAAUACAAUAAGACAAGAAUAAAAUUUGGUUUCUAUUUUAAACAAGAUUUUCAUGAAGUAUUUGAGGUUUUUUUUUUUUAACUUUUAUUUCAGGUUCAGGGGUCCACGUGCAGGUUUCUUACGUAGGUAAACUUGCGUCAUGGGGGUUUGUUGUACAGAUUAUUUCACCACCCAGGUACCCAAUAGUUAUUGUUUCUGAUCCUCUCUCUCCUCCAACCCUCGACUCCCAAGUAGGCCCCAGUGUCUUUCAUUCGCCUCUGUAUUUAUCCAUGUGUUUUCAUCGUUUAGCUCCCACUUAUAAGUGAGAACAUGAGGUAUUUCAUUUUCUGAUCCUGUGUUAGUUUGCUAAUGGCCUUUGGCUCCAUCCAUGUUCCUGUAAAGGACUUGAUUUCUUUCUUUUUUAUAGCUGCAUAGUAUUCCAUGGUGUACAUGUACCACAUUUUGGACAUUUGAUGGACAUUUAGGUUGAUUUCAUUUAGGUUGAAUGCCAUUGAGGGACAUUUAGGUUGAUUUCAUGUCUUUGCAAUUGUGAAUAGUGCUGCAAUGAACGUUUGCAUGCGUGGGUCUUUAUGGUAGAACGAUUUGUAUUCCAUUGGGUAUACACUAGCAAUGGGAUUGCUGGAACAAAUGGUAGUUCUGUUUUUAGCUCUUUAAGGAAUCAUCACACUGCUUUUCACAAUGAUUGAACUAGUUUACACUCCCAGCAACAGUGUAUUAGCAUUCCCUUUUCUCUGCAACCUCGCCAGCAUUUGUUUUUUGACUUUUUAAUAAUAGCCAUUCUGACCAGUGUGAGAUAGUAUCUCUUUAUGGUUUUGAUUUGCAUUUCUUUAAUGAUCAGUGAUAUUGAGUUUUUUUCAUCUGCUUAUUGGCCUCAUGUAUGUCCUCUUUUGAAAAGUGUCUGUUCCUGUCACUUGCCCACUUUUUAAUGGUGGUGUUUUUUCUUGUAAAUUUGUUUAAGUUCCGUAUAGAUGCUGGAUUUUAGACCUUUUUCGGAUGCAUAGUUUCCAAAUAUUUUCUCCCAUUCUGUAGGUUGUCUGUUUACUCUUUUGACAGUUUCUUUUGCAGUGCAGAAGCUGUUAAGUUUAAUUAGAUCUCAUUUGUCAACUUCUGCUUUUGUUGAGAUUGCUUUUAGCAUCUUUGUCAUCAAUCUCUGCUAGUUCCUAUAUCCAGAAUGGUAUUGCUAGGUUGUCUUCCAUGGUUUUUAUAGUUUUGGCUUUUACAUUUAAGUCUUUAACCUGUCUUUCAUUGAUUUUUGUACAUGGUGUGAGGAAGGGGUCAAUAUUCAAUCUUCUGCAUAUGGCUAACCAGUUAUCCCAACGCCAUUUGUUAAAUAAGUAAUCUUUUCCCCAUUGUUUGUUUUUAUCAUCUUUGUCAAAGAUCAGAUGGUUAUAGAUGUGUGGUCUUAUUUCUGGGCUGUCUAUUCUAUUCCAUUGGUCUAUGUGUCUUUUUUUGUACCAGUACCAUACUGUUUUGGUUACUGUAGCCCUGUGUACCAUUUGAAGUCAGGUAAUGUGAUGCGUCCAGCUUUGUUCUUUUUGCUUAGGAUUGCCUUGGCUACUCAGGGUCUUUUUUGGUCAACAUGGAUUUUAAAAUAGUUUCUGUGAAGAAUGUCAUUGGUAGUUUAAUAGGAAUAGUAUUGAAUCUGUAAAUUGCUUUGGUCAGUAUGGCCAUUUUAAUGAUAUUGAUUCUUCCUAUCCACAAGCAUGGGAUGUUUUUCCAUUUGUUUGUGUCUUCUGAUUUCUUUCACCAGUGUCUUGUAUUUCUCAUUGUAUCACUCACACCUCGCUGAUUAGCUAGGUAUUGUCUUUCUUUGGUGGCAAUUGUAAAUGAGAUUGUGUUCCUGAUUUGGCUCUUGGCUUGACUGUUGUUGGUAUAUAAAAUGUUAGUGAUUUUUGUACGUUGAUUUUGCAUCCUGAAAUUUUGCUGAAAUUGUUUAUCAGCUUAAAGAGCUUUUGGGUCAAAAGUAUGAAGUUUUCUACAUAUAGAACCAUUUCAUCGGCAAACAGAGAUAGUUUGGCUUCUUCUCUUCCUAUCUGGAUGCCCUUUAUUUCUCUUGUCUGAUUGUUCUGGCCAGGACUUCCAAUACUAUGUUGAAUAGGAGUGGUGAGACAGAGCAUCCUUGUCUUGUGCCAGUUUUCAAGAAGAAUGUUUCCAGCUUUUGCCCAGUGAACGCUCCUUUAAACGUUCCAAGAUAUUGAUCCCCCAAAAUUUGUAUUUAAAGUGUUAAUUUUCUCUUUGAAGUGUCUUAAUAUUUUAUACAUAGAUUUUAAGUACUGAAAUAUUAAGAACUAAAACAUUUUCUACAGAAACUUGCCUUUUCAAUUCUUAGUACAUUAAUAUUGUGUGUAUAAAUGCAAAUUUAUAAAUUCAGUUAGAUGAAAAGCAGAGUAUGAUUAGUAUCAUCCAUUUUCUGUAUUGUUGCUGUGAGAUCUGGGCUAUUUCUAUGCAAAGUUAUCUUAUUGAAAAUUUGACUAAAGAAAGUAAUGUGGGUUGUUAAAUAAUAUUUUAAAUUAAAUUGUCAGCUGGGCGUGGUGGCUCAUGCCUGUAAUCUCAGCAAUUUGGGAGGCUGAGGUAGGUGGAUCGCCUGAGGUCAGGAGUUUGAGAUCAGCCUGGUCAAAUGGUGAAACUCUGUCUCUAUUAAAAAUACAAAAAUUAGCCAGGUGUGGUGGUGUGCACCUGUAAUCCCAGCUAUUUGGAAGUCUGAGGCACGAGAAUUACUUGAACCCUGGGAGGCAGAGGUUGCAAUGAGCAGAGAUCGUGCCACUGCACUCCAGCCUAGGAGACAGAGUGAGACCCUGUCUCAAAACAAAAACAAAAACAAAACAAACCCAUUAAAUUGUCAAUUUAAUUUUAUUGUUUUAAGAAAAAAUUCUAUAACAAAUUUAAAUCAAAAGGACAUUGGCAUCUGAUUAUCUUUCCCUCCUUGUUUUUGGUGAUAAAAUUUCAAAAAUUUAUGUUACCAAUUUUUGUAUUUCCGUGCUCUAAUUGGUUUCAUCUUAAAACUCUGUCAUUACUUUUCUUUUAUCUCUAUUUAUUUGAUAAUUCAGUCGUUCUAGAAUCCACUCAUUUAUUCAAUUUCAAAUAUUUACUGAAAAUAUGUUAGGCAAUAUUAUUUUUUAAAAUUUAUUUUAAGUUCCGGGAUACAUGUGCAGAAUGUGCAGGUUUGUUAUAUAGGUAUACGUUGUGCCAUGGUGGCUUGCUGCACCUAUCAACCCGUCAUCUUAAGCCUUGCAUGCAUUAGGUAUUUGUCCUAAUCCUCUCCCUCCCCUUGCCCCUCACACCCCGACAAGGCCCAGUGUGUGUUGUUUCCCUCUCUGUGUCUAUGUGUUCUCAUUGUUCAACUUCCACUUAUGAGUGAGAACAUGUAGUGUUUGGUUUUCUGUUCCUGUGUUAGCUUGCUGAGGGUGAUGGUUUCCAGCUUCAUCCAUGUCCCCGCAAAGGACACGAACUCAUUCUUUCUUAAGGCUGCAUAGUAUUCCAUGGUGUAGGUGCGCCACAUUUCCUUUAUCCAGCCAGUCAUUGACGGGCAUUUGGAUUGGUUCCAAGUCUUUGCCAUUGUAGAUAGUGCUGCAAUAAACAUACGUGUGCAUGUGUCUUUAUAGUAGAAUGGUUUACUCAUUCAUAUAAGCUAUUUCAUAUUCUCUUUGCAACAUGCAAAGCGUCACAUAAAGUCAUUGACAGAUUAAAUUAAAUCAAAUAAAUUUACCCAGAAGACCUUUUACUCACUGGAUUUCUUUACUGGAGAUAUUUUUGAAUGAUGUUGUCAUCAAUGUUUUAUUAUUUUGUAUUUAAUCAUAUUCAAAGUUCAUCUGUCUCACUGUAAAAACUCUUAAAAAUGAUAAUUACUUUUUUAUGUUCUUUUCUGAUUUGUACGAUAAUGAAUGCUGUAAACAUCUAAGAAUACCAUCAGAAAUAAGAAUUUCAAUUUUGAUGAACAUCAUCUCCAUAAAAUGAAUGCUUUAUAACUAGGGCCUGCUUGUUACCAAUGAGUAUGUAUUAUACAUAUAAAGAUAAUGGAAUAAUAUUUUUUCUUGGUAAUUUCCAAUUGUUGUUGAUGUGAUUUUUAUUUUUAUUUCAUUAGGUCCUUCCCAGAUGUUGCAACUUUUUAUUUUCUUUCUGUUUUGAUUACUGGAGACUAUUAUAUAAGAACAGUUGUAGCUUAAAAGUAUAAGUCUUAAUAAAACUAUAUCAUAUUUGGGUUUAGAAAUUUUAACUUGCACAACCAACAGGUCAUCUAAGAAGUGAGCAUUGAAACUACAAAGCUCUGAUGAGAAAAAUCAAAGAAGGUCUAAAUAAACUGAAGACAUAUUAAGAGGGACUCAACAUUCUUAAGAUGCCAGUUUCCCCAGCUCAAUCAACAGAUUCAAUGCAAUCCCAAUCAAAAUCCUAGAAAAUUACUAUACAGAUAUAAACAACCAAUUCCUAAGUUUAUAUGGAAAGACAAAAGAACCAGAACGGUCAACAAAAUAUUAAAGAAGAAGGAAGUCAGAGGACUGACACUAUCCGACUAAAAACGUACUGUGAAACUACAAUGAUUAAGACAGUACAGUAUUCAUGAAUGAAUACACAAUACAUCAAUAGAACAGAAUAGAGAGCCCAGAAACUUACCCACACAAAUACAAUCAACUGAUUUUUGACAAGGAAGCAAAGGCAAUUCAAUGGAGAAAAGAUAGACUGGACCUCCACAUGGAAAAAAUGAAUCUAGACACAGACCUUAGAAGCAACAGGCGCUCCCAUACAUUGUUGAUGGGAAUAUAAAAUGGUACAGUCACUUUAGAAGACAGCCUAGCAGUUUUAUGCAAACCUUAUCAAAGGCUUGUGAUAACAUACAGCAAUCAUACUCCUAGGUAUUUACUCAAGUGAGUUACAAGCUUAUGUCCACACAAAAACCUGCACACGAAAGCUACAAGCAACCAAGAUAUCCUUUAAUAGAUGAAGGAAUAAACAAACUGUGAUAUAUUCAUGCAAGGAGAUAUUAUUCAGUAAUGUGAAAAAAAGAGCUAUCAAGCUACUAAAAGACAUGGAGGAAGUUGAAAUACAUAUUAUGAAGUGGAAGAAGGAAGUCUUAAUAAGCUACAUGGUAUAUAAUUUCAACUAUAUGAUGUUCUGGAAAAGGCAAAACUAUAGAUACAAUGAAUUGAUCAGUGGUUGCCAGGGGUUCAGAAGGUUCAGGGGAAAGGAUAAAUGGUUGAAGUACAAGAAAACUUUAGAGCAUUGAAACUUUGAAACUAUUCUGUAUGAUAAUACGAUGGUAGAUGCAUGACAUUAUACACUCGUCAAAAUCCACAGGGUAUAGAACACAAAGAGAACUCUAAUGUAACUAUGAACUUUAGUGAAUAUUUAUGUAUUAAUAUUAGCUCAUCAAUUGUAACAAACGUACCUUACUAAUGCAAGAUACUAAUAAUGGGAGAAAUUGUGUGCAGAAAGGAAGGGAUUAUAUGGGAACUUUGUACUUUCUAUACAACUUUUCUGUAAAUCUAAAACUUCUCUAAAAACAAAGUCUAUUUUUAAAAGUAUAUAGUUUUGCUUGCUUAACCCGUUAUGAUUUUCCAAUGAGUUCUUGUGUCUAGGUUUGGAGCUAUGAAUAAAUGGCAGUCAGUUUUCUGUCCACAUAAGUUCCAAGGACUAUAAUAUAGUUUUUUUCUCUUUAAAAUACAAGUAAAGUUUUAAAUAUUUUUCCAGAAAUACAACUCAGUUACUCUUCAAGUUUGAAAAGUUAUUUUCAUUUUGAAAUAUUUCCAAGUAUAAUAAUCUUAUGUGAAAUACAUUAAAUAAGAAACUCAUGGCUUAAAGGAGUCUUUUCAUUAAUCCCUUAAUUUAGAAAGAGAAAGUAUCUAGAAAGACUUCACUUCACAUAAACCCUCUUACCAAAAGUUGCAAAAAUUUUUUUCAUUCAUGGACGUAUACCUGAAAUUGAUUUUUUUCCUUUAAACAAUCAUUUUGCUACAUCUAGCACAUCAAGAUAUGUUUGCCAUAACGACAGAUGAAAAUGACAUUUUUCUCUUCAGGUUUACAUUGAUUUUGUUUCUACACAUUUCACAACUGCAUCAUGAAUUUUUUGAUUACUCUAUAAGUAUAAGCAUAUUUCUAAAUGUUCCUUUAACCUAGUAAUUCAUACCAAAGACUUCUUUAUAUACAUUUUCCUUUACAUAGAGCCUAAAUACUAAAUGAUGAAAACCACAGAUAUGCUAUUAAUUAGAAGUCUGCCAGUCCUCUAUAGUACUUCCAUAAGAUUUAAUUAUAACUCAAAAAUAUAUCUACUCUUUCCAUUCGCAAUACAUUAUCCAAGCUGUGACUAUCUCUUUCAUGGGCAACUGUAAUUCCCUCCUAACUGUUCUGUUUUCAUUUUUUCUCCUUUCUAGUCCAUUCUCUCCAGAGUGGCCAUAGUGAUCUCACCUAAGCACAAUCUGAUCCAUCACAUUUGUGUCAAAAUCCUCCGAAGGCUCUAAGCAUACAGUUUACUCUUUUCUCCCCUCCUCUGUGGCUAAUUGUCCCCCAUUCUUCAGGAUUCAGCUUCAAUGUAACUCCUUAGGGAGGCACAUUCUAAGCCUCUGUAGUGUAGGUCAGGACACCUCUUGCAGUCUCAGGAUGCGGUGCAUCCUCUAGAGCACUUGUCCAACUGCAAUGACUCAGUGAUUUGUGUAAUUACACAUUUGCUGUUCAUUUCUUCUAAUGGAAUGAGAGUUCCAUGGGUGCACACAAUGUAUAUCUGUCCUCCAAACCUACCACAGGGCCCACCACAUAUAUGCCCAAUAAUUAUUUCUUAAAUAACUAAACUAACACCAAGAGAACCCUGAAGCAACACUAGGACUCAUAGUAAAGAUAUGACAAAGGGGAAGGUGUAUUCAAAUUUAGAUAAUAUAAUUAACAUAAUGAAGAAAUGACUUCAUCAAUAUAGUUGGUGUGGCACAUCCUUUUUCUCCUGAUCAUAAAAAACGCCCUUAUUUAUAACAUUUCUCAAGGGUAAGGGAGGAGAGUCCUAUUUCUCAUGAUACCUCUCCUUUUAUCCUCAGAAAAGCAUUUAAAUAAAAAACACAAAACCAUUGUCUGAAUUUCUGUUCUGCUUUAAAGUGCCUGAUGAGCCAGUUGAGUAAAAGAAAGUAGAAUGGCUUAUGAUAGAACAAUGAUGGCUUGUCAAUGCACACCUUUCAAAGAAAGAAUGAGACUAUCAUAAGCAUGUCAUUUGAUAACGACUGCAACUCAUCCUUCCUCCCCAAGCAGCCAGCACUUAGAAAUAGUAAUACAAUAAAUUUAAUUUAACCCUAAAAGCAAAGCUAUUAUUGGAACGUACUUAUCCUGUAACCCCAACUAACUUGAAGUUCCCCUCUACCCUGCUCCGAAAGGUAUGCCGCCAAACACAAUUUUAUCAGCCUUUGUAAAUGUAACCUCUUUUGAUCUUUCCUAUUUCUAUGACAGUAUAACAAUAUUAUGUGCCCCUGAGAGGGAUUAACAUUAAAGUCAAGAAGAAGCAGCCAAGUGAAGAUCUAGAGGAAGCAAAUUCCAGGCAAAUAAAAGAAUAAAUGUUCCCUAAGGUAGGGCAAUGGAACCAAAUGAGGCCAAUGUGGAUCUGCAGACUAGAGGUGAGGUUAGAGCUGUAAGGAGAUGCCAAAUCAUGAGCUUUGUAGGCUCGGGGGGAAUUUAGGAUAUGUUCUGGAUACAGGGUUGACAGAAGUUGUUCACGUUGGAAGAGAGGCAAAGACAGGAAUUACCUUCUCAUUGAAGAAAGGUACUGAUAAUCCAAAUUCCAGAAAAAGACAUCUUAAUCCACUUAAUCUUGAAGGGUAUUGCAAAACUACAUAAUAUAGUAGAUUUUCAUACCUUUCUUUAUGGACAUUCACUUUAAGUUUCUAAUGUUUGUCAUUUGCGCAGGCUACUGCCUGCAUUGAUGAGUCAGCCACUGAAUAGAACUAGAAUUCAGUGUUAUCAAGUGCAUUGGUAUAGUCCAUGAGAUUUGUUAAGGACUCAAAUGCUAGGACAAUAAGUCUUCUCAGGAGCAUGCUGCAGAGAAGAGACUCAGCUGGACGUGGGCCUGGCCUGGAUUUCAGUACUGAUACACGGCCAGCUCUGGCUAGAAUUCAUAUUUGAUCUCAUUUUUUAUAUGUUUACCUUAUAUAUUCCAAAUUUUGCAUAGAUUAUUGAAACUAGGUCAAAAGUAAAAUCAUCAGUUAAUAAUUUAUGACACUUCUGCAAUUUGUCCCAUCCAAAUAGAACGGCCUAGAGAAACUCUGUGGCUGUAUGAAAGUUGAGCCAACAUCACAACUCUGUGAAACUGCCCAAAAACAACAGCUUUGGGGGAAAAAAACAGUCAAAUGCUAGGCUGCCACCAAUUUCCAUCCUGGAAUCUACAAAAAGACUCAUUUAACAAUAUAAAAUGAAACAAUUUUGUAGUUUUUGGUUAGAAAAGACUUGAUUACAGAAACAAGCAUAUCUUGUAGAAUUUUAUAAAUGGAUACAUUUUUUAUGGUAUUUGGAGAAAAAUAUGACUUCUGUUAGUGUUUUAUAAAUAUUGGCUAAAAAUGAAAUAAUGAACUUGAGAAGGGAAAUCCAGAGAAAGCUAAAAGCUAGAGUUUUGCAUAUUCUCUUCUAUACUGGCACUUUGCUUUUUCUGUUUUGAAUAUAUUUUCAAUGCCCCAGUGAACUUGGUAACACUGCCAACAAUAAAAAAAAUUGUAAAGGACUUAGAUCUUUAAUAUAACGUGAAAAUCUGGAAAUUAAACAGAAUAACAGAGAUGAAGAAAUUAAUUUUCAGAUUUUUUAAAAAGAUUUUUGCUGGC